ensembl:misc_RNA Metazoa_SRP Metazoan signal recognition particle RNA
GCUGGACACGGUGGCCUGUGCCUGUAGUCCCAGCUACUCAGGAGGCUGAGGUGGGAGGAUCACUUGAGUACAGGAGUUCUGAGCUGUUGUGUGCUAUGCGGAUCGGGUGUCUGUACUAAGUUCAGCAUCAAUAUGGUGACCUCCCGGGAGCGGGGGACCAUCAGGUUGGCUAAGGAAGGGUGAACCAGCCCAGGUCGGAAACCGAGCAGGUCAAAACUCCCGUGCUGAUCAGUAGUGGGAUCGCGCCUAUGAAUAGCCACUGCACUCCAGCCUGGGCAACAUAGCGAGACCCCGUCUCUU